rnacentral:tRNA from 1 species
AUGGAAUUUUCCUGGCAAGGAUACUGGAGUGGGUUGCCAUUUCCUCCUUCAGGGGCUCUUCCCUACCCAGGGAUCUUCCCUACCCAGGGAUCGAACCCUGGUCUCCUGCACUGCAGGCAGACUCUACCGCAUGAGCCACUAGGGAAAUUCCUCAGAGGCUGUGGAACGUUCUGGCAGGGGCAGAGCCCCUCCCCCGCACUGCCUCCUGCACAACAGCGGGGCGGAAGGAGCAGAGAGGGAGGGAGGCCUCUGAUUGGAGGAGGCUUGGUGAGAGGGCGGGGCGGUGGGCGUGUCCAACGGCCCCUGAAAAAGUCGUUGGGAUCCGUUAAGUUCCAGCGGCACCUCGCUCAUUUUUCUCUAAGGUGGCAUGAAGCUGACUUAGUUGGAGAACGGGCUUAUGGGGAUCUCCCCUUUCAGGAAGAUGAGAACUGCUAUAAGGAUUCAGGAAAACCCCUGAGGCCCAGGAUGUGGAGAACUGAGCGCCCCGUCCCUCACCGCCGGUUGGUUGUAGACGUUGUGGAGGGAGGGGUGCAAGGGGUUUUGUGCUCCCGGUCCCGCCAGGAGAUGGGCGGUGGUUGGAGAUGGGCCCCCAAGUCCUUCACAAGCCCCUUCCCCCUCGCCUCGGGGCUCAUCCGAGCAUUUCUCCGCUCUUUUCUCCCUUUACCUCUGUGUCUCUCUUGUGGGAAGAUUCCAUUCUUCCAUCCCAAGGAGGAGAGCCACUCGAAUGUCCUGAAAGACACUGGGACUCCGAGGACAGGAUGGGUCAGUCAAGCCAUAACAGAGCAUGGAGCCAGUUCCUUUGUCCACCCUGUCAUCUUCUAGGAACUAGGAAGCACCCUUCCUGGGUCCCUGCCCCAGUGGACUUCUCCAGUUCUUCCUUCCCAGCCGUUGCUGUGGCAUUAGCCAUCUGGAAAAAGAGCUGCUGGUAGGACCUGGGACUUUUGUUCACACCCAUAAGCCUUCCCUCCAGAUAUCCAGUACUUUGCCUUCAGGAAGGAGACUUGAACUUCAGGCAACAGGAGAAAACCAAACCUUCAAGGGCUUUGGUUCCCUCCAAGGCCAAGGUUCCCAAGAUCCUUGGUUAAGAGGUCUGGGCCACUGCCCUCCCGUCUUCACUCUUCUUUUCCCUGUUUGUCCCAGAGUUCUGCUAUAACCCCAAAGCUUUUCUGUUUACCAUCAACAUGGAAACUUGACUCUUCAUAUAGGUAUAUUUUCCCUCUUUUGUGCAUCAUCUUGUUCCCAAAAACUGCCUUUUCAUGAAGGAGGCUUGUGGGACUCAAGGGGCCUGGCCAGUCACCCAGGCUCCCCCGAAGCCUCAGACCACUGGUAAUGUGGAGAAGUUUAAUAAAGAUGUCAUUACUUCUUGACUUGU